GCCCCUGUGGCGGAAUUGGUAGACGCGUCCGACUCAAAAUCGGAUGCCGCAAGGCUUGCCGGUUCGAGUCCGGCCGGGGGUACCA
rnacentral:tRNA from 2 species